UACCACUCACCUUAAUGCUCGCUGGUCCAUGCUUUUUUCAGAGCAUCCUCUCACUCUCCUGAACUCUGUGGUACUGCCCAAAGGGUAUCUAUGUCUUUCUUGUGUGAGGCACUUCAAGGCUCCUUGGUUCUGGGAUUUCAACAGUUGUGAUGGUUAUUCUUGCUUGUCAACUUGACUGCAUCUAGAAUUAACUAAAAACCCACUUAUGAGGGAUUUUCAGCUAAUUGGACCAUUUGAACUAGGCAGAACCUCCCCCGCCCUUAAAUAUGUAUCACCUGACUUUGGAAGUGCCAUCUUUAAUCUCGGCCACUCCUUCUUGUGGAAGCCACUAUGAAGGACAGGCAAAAAGACCUUUUGCUCUUUGCCAGCUUGCCUUCUCCCUUCCUGAUGAGCAAGAUUUGUUGGAAGAAGUCUCAAAUGGGAAAAACAAGGCCACUUUGAAGAGCACUCCUCCUUCUUCCAGGACCCCUCUUUGCAACAUUUUCUCCUCUCAGGGCCAAAGUCCAGCUGGACCGCCUCUCUCACUCUGUCCUGCCUUCUGUGAUCUCGUUUGCCUGAAGGAACCUGGAUGCAGUUGAGGGAAAGCAGAGUCUGAGUGUUGGAAGUUAUGCUGCAUACUACCAAAGAAGAAAGAAACACCAAUCCAGCUACAAAUCCUGUGAUCAACAGUGGUGACCCGCCUGCAAGAUACGCUGGCCCAACAGUGGCAGAAAUGUUGUGGGAGUGACCACCACUAUGUGAUUGGAUUUAAGACCCACUCCAUGAGAUGGAACCCAUGAGUGACACUACUCAGUAGGCCAAGAACCCGGGACUACAAAGGCCAUGGACUUAGGGGAAAACAAACUGCUUAAUAGUAGGCCCCAUGCCCAGAAGUAAAGCCAACACAAAACAAAUUCAGUGGUAUUUUUGGAGGAAGGUUUUUGGGGAUGUUUUGCCUCAUGCUUUGUCUAGACAUAAAAUAAAUAAACAAACCAGCAAAUAAAAA